ensembl:lncRNA PVT1 Pvt1 oncogene
GGCCAGAAGGAGAUUAAAAAGAUGCCCCUCAAGAUGGCUGUGCCUGUCAGCUGCAUGGAGCUUCGUUCAAGUAUUUUCUGAGCCUGAUGGAUUUACAGUGAUCUUCAGUGGUCUGGGGAAUAACGCUGGUGGAACCAUGCACUGGAAUGACACACGCCCGGCACAUUUCAGGAUACUAAAAGUGGUUUUAAGGGAGGCUGUGGCUGAAUGCCUCAUGGAUUCUUACAGCUUGGAUGUCCAUGGGGGACGAAGGACUGCAGCUGGCUGAGAGGGUUGAGAUCUCUGUUUACUUAGAUCUCUGCCAACUUCCUUUGGGUCUCCCUAUGGAAUGUAAGACCCCGACUCUUCCUGGUGAAGCAUCUGAUGCACGUUCCAUCCGGCGCUCAGCUGGGCUUGAGCUGACCAUACUCCCUGGAGCCUUCUCCCGAGGUGCGCGGGUGACCUUGGCACAUACAGCCAUCAUGAUGGUACUUUAAGUGGAGGCUGAAUCAUCUCCCCUUUGAGCUGCUUGGCACGUGGCUCCCUUGGUGUUCCCCUUUUACUGCCAGGACACUGAGAUUUGGAGAGAAUCCUGUUACACCUGGGAUUUAGGCACUUUCAAUCUGAAAAAAUACAUAUCCUUUCAGCACUCUGGACGGACUUGAGAACUGUCCUUACGUGACCUAAAGCUGGAGUAUUUUGAGAUUGGAGAAUUAAGGCUACAGAGAAACAAGGAGACGGGAGAGCCUUGAAAUGGACCUUCAAGAUUACAAUGUGUAGCUGACAUUGUCAGUUAAGUUGGGCAGAUCUGACUUCGCUGAUUAAGUGGAUGUAUGAGCCGAUCCUCCCCAGAAGCUGGGAUCAGCUUCCCCAUCUGAUGAGCCAGUCUUGGUGCUCUGUGUUCACCUGGUUCAUCUGAGGAGCUGCAUCUACCCUGCCCAUGCCAUAGAUCCUGCCCUGUUUGCUUCUCCUGUUGCUGCUAGUGGACAUGAGGUAACCACAGCCUAGUUCUGUGAUAAGCUCUUCACACCUGUACCCAUAUGGACUGUGGGAGAGUUUCUCUGAUAUGGACUGUGAUGCGGAAGGACAGAAUAACGGGCUCCCAGAUUCACAAGCCCCACCAAGAGGAUCACCCCAGGAACGCUUGGAGGCUGAGGAGUUCACUGAGGCUACUGCAUCUUGAGACUCAGGAUGAAGACCCAGCUUGGGGCUGUCAAAGGUUUUUUGCAUGUCUGACACCCAUGACUCCACCUGGACCUUAUGGCUCCACCCAGAAGCAAUUCAGCCCAACAGGAGGACAGCUUCAACCCAUUACGAUUUCAUCUCUGCCCCAACCACUCAGCAGCAAGCACCUGUUACCUGUCCACCCCCACCCCUUCCCCCAAACUGCCUUUGAAAAAUCCCUAACCUAUGAGCUUUGAAUAAGAUGAGUACGAACUUCAUCGCCCACGUGGCGUGGCCGGCCUCGUGUCUAUUAAAUUCUUUUUCUACU